rnacentral:rRNA from 1 species
UACGUAGGGUGCGAGCGUUGUCCGGAAUUAUUGGGCGUAAAGAGCUCGUAGGCGGUUUGUCACGUCUGCUGUGAAAUCCCGAGGCUCAACCUCGGGCCUGCAGUGGGUACGGGCAGACUGGAGUGCGGUAGGGGAGAAUGGAAUUCCUGGUGUAGCGGUGGAAUGCGCAGAUAUCAGGAGGAACACCGAUGGCGAAGGCAGCUCGCUGGGACGGUACUGACGCUGAGACGCGAAAGCGUGGGGAGCAAACAGG